GAUGAACGCUGGCGGCGUGCCUAAUACAUGCAAGUCGAGCGAAUGGAUUAAGAGCUUGCUCUUAUGAAGUUAGCGGCGGACGGAUGAGUAACACGUGGGUAACCUGCCCAUAAGACUGGGAUAACUCCGGGAAACCGGGGCUAAUACCGGAUAACAUUUUGAACCGCAUGGUUCGAAAUUGAAAGGCGGCUUCGGCUGUCACUUAUGGAUGGACCCGCGUCGCAUUAGCUAGUUGGUGAGGUAACGGCUCACCAAGGCAACGAUGCGUAGCCGACCUGAGUGGGGGAUCGGCCACACGGGGACUGAGACACGGCCCAGACUCCUACGGGAGGCAGCAGUAGGGAAUCUUCCGCAAUGGACGAAAGUCUGACGGAGCAACGCCGCGUGAGUGAUGAAGGCUUUCGGGUCGUAAAACUCUGUUGUUAGGGAAGAACAAGUGCUAGUUGAAUAAGCUGGCACCUUGACGGUACCUAACCAGAAAGCCACGGCUAACUACGUGCCAGCCGCCGCGGUAA
rnacentral:rRNA from 1 species